UGAGGAACAUGACCUUCGGCGGGGGAUAGCCGGCCCAACGGCCGGGUAAUACCGCGUACGACCACAUGGGGACAUCCCUGAGUGGUGAAAGCAGCAAUGCGCCGAUGGAGUGCCUCGCGGCCUAUCAGCUAGUUGGUGAGGUAACGGCUCACCAAGGCAACGACGGGUAGCUGGUCUGAGAGGAUGGCCAGCCACAUUGGGACUGAGACACGGCCCAGACCUGUACCGGGGAGG
rnacentral:rRNA from 1 species